AUUACCCCUCUAUUCUGUGCUAAAUUUAAAAAAGAUUUGGUUUCCUGAUGUGUCCUCACAUACUGCGCCAUGUUUCUUUUAAAACUCUUCUUCGCUUGUUGGAACAUUCGUCAACAUCCCCUUGUUUUUGUUCAUGUGACUCUGGUUGUGGAAAAAGGUCUUUCCAUUGCAAUUUUGCACAAUAAACCAA